rnacentral:tRNA from 1 species
ACUAAAGAAGUUUUGCUUAAAUAUCAGUUUGUGGCACUGAAGACGCCAGUUAAACCCUGGCCUUAAGUC